UGAGUUUUAAGUUAUAUAAACUAUAAACCUUCCAAGUUUAAAAAAAAUUAAGUUAAACUCAA
rnacentral:tRNA from 1 species